rnacentral:rRNA from 1 species
GACGAACGCUGGCGGCGUGCCUAAUACAUGCAAGUUGAGCGCUGAAGGUUGGUACUUGUACCAACUGGAUGAGCAGCGAACGGGUGAGUAACGCGUGGGGAAUCUGCCUUUGAGCGGGGGACAACAUUUGGAAACGAAUGCUAAUACCGCAUAAAAACUUUAAACACAAGUUUUAAGUUUGAAAGAUGCAAUUGCAUCACUCAAAGAUGAUCCCGCGUUUUAUUAGCUAGUUGGUGAGGUAAAGGCUCACCAAGGCGAUGAUACAUAGCCGACCUGAAAGGGUGAACGGCCACAUUGGGACUGAGACAAGGCCCAAAAUCCUAAGGGAGGCAGCAGUAGGGAAUCUUCGGCAAUGGACGAAAGUCUGACCGAGCAACGCCGCGUGAGUGAAGAAGGUUUUCGGAUCGUAAAACUCUGUUGGUAGAGAAGAACGUUGGUGAGAGUGGAAAGCUCAUAAAGUGACGGUAACUACCCAGAAAGGGACGGCUAACUACGUG